AUUGAACGCUGGCGGCAGGCCUAACACAUGCAAGUCGAGCGGAUGAAGGGAGCUUGCUCCUGGAUUCAGCGGCGGACGGGUGAGUAAUGCCUAGGAAUCUGCCUGGUAGUGGGGGAUAACGUCCGGAAACGGGCGCUAAUACCGCAUACGUCCUGAGGGAGAAAGUGGGGGAUCUUCGGACCUCACGCUAUCAGAUGAGCCUAGGUCGGAUUAGCUAGUUGGUGGGGUAAGGGCCUACCAAGGCGACGAUCCGUAACUGGUCUGAGAGGAUGAUCAGUCACACUGGAACUGAGACACGGUCCAGACCCCUACGGGAGGCAGCAGUGGGGAAUAUUGGACAAUGGGCGAAAGCCUGAUCCAGCCAUGCCGCGUGUGUGAAGAAGGUCUUCGGAUUGUAAAGCACUUUAAGUUGGGAGGAAGGGCAGUAAAUUAAUACCUUGCUGUUUUGACGUUACCAACAGAAUAAGCACCGGCUAACUUCGUG
rnacentral:rRNA from 1 species